rnacentral:rRNA from 1 species
CCAAGGCGCCCGCCGGAGGACCAACCAAAACUCUUUUUGUAUACCCCCUCGCGGGUUUUUUAUAAUCUGAGCCUUCUCGGCGCCUCUCGUAGGCGUUUCGAAAAUGAAUCAAAACUUUCAACAACGGAUCUCUUGGUUCUGGCAUCGAUGAAGAACGCAGCGAAAUGCGAUAAGUAAUGUGAAUUGCAGAAUUCAGUGAAUCAUCGAAUCUUUGAACGCACAUUGCGCCCGCCAGUAUUCUGGCGGGCAUGCCUGUCCGAGCGUCAUUUCAACCCUCGAACCCCUCCGGGGGGUCGGCGUUGGGGAUCGGCCCUGCCUCUGGCGGUGGCCGUCUCCGAAAUACAGUGGCGGUCUCGCCGCAGCCUCUCCUGCGCAGUAGUUUGCACACUCGCAUCGGGAGCGCGGCGCGUCCACAGCCGUUAAACACCCAACUUCUGAAAUGUG